UACGUAGGCAGCAAGCGUUGUUCGGAAUUACUGGGCGUAAAGAGUGUGUAGGCGGUUGGGUAAGUCUGGUGUGAAAUCUCCCGGCUCCACUGGGAGGGUGCGCCGGGAACUGCCUCGCUGGAGUGCGGUAGAGGAGAGUGGAAUUCCCGGUGUAGCGGUGAAAUGCGUAGAUAUCGGGAGGAAAACCUGUGGUGAAAGCGGCUCUCUAGACCGUAACUGACGCUGAGACACGAAAGCGUUGGGAGCAAACAGG
rnacentral:rRNA from 1 species